UCCUGUACGUCCCCAAGAGCACUUGUGACACAGAAUUUCCCAGAAGGCUGUUCCUCUGUUCUUCUUGGAAGUUUCCACCAAGCUUGCUUAUGCCCAACCUGUAUGUUUCGACAUCCUCGUGUGCGGGCAAUGAUGCACAGUGUCUGUGACCACGACUGGGGCACACCCCAGCUUCAGGGAAACGUGGAGGUGAAGAAACGGGGCAUCCUGGAUUCACCAAGCAAGCGUGGUCUGUGCUUGGUCCACCUUAGAGGGAUUCGGCCCAGAGUGGCGCGCACACGGCUGGACAUUCCAAGGUUCCAGAAGGAAAGCUGCGCAGACACCUCAUCCCAGGGUCCCCCUCCCCCCCCACCCCCAGGGUUCGAGGGCUUGGGCACCUGCAAUUUAAGAUCUUGGGGAAUUAAAACCAUGAAUCCCA